rnacentral:rRNA from 1 species
GACGAACGCUGGCGGCGUGCUUAACACAUGCAAGUCGAGCGAUGAAGCUCCUUCGGGAGUGGAUUAGCGGCGGACGGGUGAGUAACACGUGGGUAACCUGCCUCAUAGAGGGGAAUAGCCUUCCGAAAGGAAGAUUAAUACCGCAUAAGGUUGUAGUUUCGCAUGAAACAGCAAUUAAAGGAGCAAUCCGCUAUGAGAUGGACCCGCGUCGCAUUAGCUAGUUGGUGAGGUAACGGCUCACCAAGGCGACGAUGCGUAGCCGACCUGAGAGGGUGAUCGGCCACAUUGGGACUGAGACACGGCCCAGACUCCUACGGGAGGCAGCAGUGGGGAAUAUUGCACAAUGGGGGAAACCCUGAUGCAGCAACGCCGCGUGAGUGAUGAAGGUCUUCGGAUUGUAAAGCUCUGUCUUUGGGGACGAUAAUGACGGUACCCAAGGAGGAAGCCACGGCUAACUACGUG